UACGUAGGGAGCAAGCGUUGUUCGGAUUUACUGGGCGUAAAGGGCGCGUAGGCGGCGCGGUAAGUCACUUGUGAAAUCUCUGAGCUUAACUCAGAACGGCCAAGUGAUACUGCAGUGCUAGAGUGCAGAAAGGGCAAUCGGAAUUCUUGGUGUAGCGGUGAAAUGCGUAGAUAUCAGGAGGAACACCGGUGGCGAAGGCGGGUCUCUGGGCCGAUACUGACGCUGAGGAGCGAAAGCGUGGGGAGCGAACAGG
rnacentral:rRNA from 1 species